GGGUCCCGGCAGCCGACAAAUCUCUCCUUUCCCAUCACCGGUCGCGGACUAUGAGUCCCACCGGGAACGGGAGGCCCGCUGUGGGAAGGAGAGGAUAAGGGCCGUCGAGGUCCGUAUCAGGGCGGAAAUGGCGGCGGCGGAGGCGGCUGAUGCGGCGGGUGCGCCCGCAUUAUGAAAAAAUGCAAGCGGAGGAACACACGCCGUCCUCGCCUGAUAGCAGAAUCGGGUGGUCCGUGCCAUGGUUGGACUACCACCGAAGGAGGAGAAGGAGGAACUCCGGCGACGAGCACAUCUGGCUCGAUCCCUACUGUGUCUUCUACCGGUGUGGAAGCCAGUGGCUUGGAGGCAAAACUAGCAGGCGAUGGAGCCGACGAUUUGUAGUUGUACAUUUCCUUGUCCCGUGGGGGACUCUGUAGCAUGACUACGGUACCUUCAUUAUGUUGUUAUUCAGAAAUUGUUCUCUUAAGCUACCCUUGCCCUUUCCGCUUUUCUA